UACAGAGGUCUCGAGCGUUGUUCGGAUUCAUUGGGCGUAAAGGGUGCGUAGGUGGCGUGGUAAGUCGGAUGUGAAAUCCCGGGGCUCAACCCCGGAACUGCAUUCGAUACUGCCAUGCUAGAGUACUGGAGAGGAGAUUGGAAUUUACGGUGUAGCAGUGAAAUGCGUAGAUAUCGUAAGGAAGACCAGUGGCGAAGGCGGAUCUCUGGACAGUUACUGACACUGAGGCACGAAGGCCAGGGGAGCAAACGGGG
rnacentral:rRNA from 1 species